rnacentral:rRNA from 1 species
UACGUAGGGGGCAAGCGUUGUCCGGGAUCAUUGGGCGUAAAGAGCGCGUAGGCGGUCCGGUAAGUCCGCUCUGAAAGUCCGGGGCUCAACCCCGGGAGGCGGGCGGAUACUGUCGGGCUAGAGUCCGGAAGAGGCGAGUGGAAUUCCUGGUGUAGCGGUGAAAUGCGCAGAUAUCAGGAGGAACACCGGUGGCGAAGGCGGAUCUCUGGGCCGAUACUGACGCUGAGGAGCGAAAGCGUGGGGAGCGAACAGG